GUGGGUGAUAUGUACAGCUCUCGCUAACAAACUUAAGCAUCGCUUUAAUCCUGUGUAAUUUAUUGUCAUGGAAGCUAAUAGACUGGUGGGGAGGGGGGUUCUACCCUGUAUUUGUGAAGCAGAACACUGUGUUGUGAUUUUUAGAUCAGACACAGGGAGGCAGCAGUGAGCCAAUGAGGAGCAGGAACAAUGGGAACAGCUUUGAGCCAGAAAGUUUGACUCUAGAUCAGGAGAAGCCAGCUAGCUGUUUAAAAUCAUUUAAACCAAACAGAAACACAUUAUUUUAAAAACUUUAAAAUCAAACAUUAGCAGAAUUUACCGUUCUAGCAUAUGUUUUCUGCUCCCUGUUAGCGCUUAAUUUCAUUCACUUCCCAAAUGUUUUGCUUUGCUUACUCACAAUUUUCUUUUCUUUUUUUAUUUUUUAUUUUUUAUUUUUCAGUAAUCCCUGCACCUAACGUGGGGCUCGAACUUACAACCCCGAGAUCAAAAGUUGCAUUCUGUACCGAGACAGCCAGCCACCCCGACAAUAUUAUUUUUUAAUCCAUUUUGGAGUGUGAGCAUUUUAAAGCUGACAAGCAUCUUCCUGGCUGGUCCAAGUUGAAGCCCCAGGAGUGGAUCAAGAUACUCCUACCCCAGGAGGGCACAGAAGGCAAGCCUGGAGCGGUGCAGAAGGUAAGAAGGACCGCCUUAGUGGAGAACCCACGGUGGACUGGAGCUGACAACAUCGUUAGAGCAAAUUGGUUUCCAAGGGCUCCUUUUUAAACGAGGGAACGCAGCCGCACUACCUCUGCCUCCCCAAAGAGGAUUCAUCUCAUCCUGCCUGUCUGAAACCUGGAUGCUGCAGGCUGGGGAUUUCGUAAACAAAGAAGCGUCAUGCUAUCAAGGGAUUCACUGCAGACAGGACCAUGCAGAAAAACACCUCUACACACUUGCUGAACACCCACCCGCCCUGUGCCUGGCUCUCUGCAGUUCCUGGGUUACAAACGGAGGGAGCCACCUCCCACACCUAGAGGGCCGCACAUUCUCCUGUGGGAUGCAGCUAAGUGAUGGCUGGGUAGGGGCCAUGGAGCCCAGAACCCUGCCUGCCCCCCCCACCCAAGCCCCCUGCCCAUGUUCCAGAAAGUUCUCAGGAGGAGGAGGUGCCUGAGCUGAGUCCUAAAGGACCAGUUGGCCAAGCAGAAAACAUGAGACAGGUCAUUCCCCACAAGGGAAACGUGAAAUAAUACCAGGGUCCCUCUCUUUCUCUGCUUCUCUAUAUGCUAUGGCCCCAUUCUGAACACUUCACAUGUGUCAUAUCACUUCGUUCUCAGAACUCUGUGAGGCAAGCACUCUUACGGCUCCAUAUUAAAGCUGAGGUCCCUGAGGCCCAAAGGAUGGAGUGGUUCUUCAAGGUCACGUCCUUCGUGAGCGGUGCAGCCAGCAUUUGAACUGAGCAGAAAGUUGGAAAUGUGGCUACAAAGUUCAGGAGCAACCAUGGGAAUAGAAAUCUCACUGCAGAGUCAAGAGCAGAGACUUGUUACCGAAUGAACAGGCAUAUCCAGGAAUAGCAUGGAGAUGGGGACACAAGUGGUCUGAGCCGGAGCCUGGGGGACACUGGACAGAAGACAUGAAGUAUAACAGAACGUACAGCUCAGUCUGGAUGAGACUCUCUGAGAGCAAAGCUGUUUAUUUGGCUCACCGCUGUAUCCCUGUACCUGGAGCAGAGCUCAGCAUGCAAUAGCUAUGUAGGCCACGAUUUGCUCAGCAUAUCUCUUCCUAAAUUCCAAGACAGGCUUCUUGCUCUGUUCAGUCAAGACUGCCAACCCAGGAAACAUUUUCGAAAGAUCACAGUCAACGUCACUGCCAAAAGAAGAAGUUCUUGGCACGCAAAGAACCGGGUUCAAUAUGAGAUGCCAGAUGGUGAUUUCAACUUCAGCUGAAUUCCUGCUGGAAAAAACUGUUUGAACUGCAGAUGAGAAAAGAUGCUAUGACAAAUUUCCAAGUGUUAGGAACUUCAGAGGGAAAUGGCGAGUGUUGAUACACCCCCCACCCCCCGUCCCUCCAACCACACGCACACAUACCAUAGAACUACUUACUACCUGCAUCUGGUAGUUAAGAUUCCCACAAAGAUGCCUCUGCUUUUUAAGAAGAUUAAGCCAUGUCUUGAUUUUUACUAAUAUUAAAGUAUAUUAACUGAGUCCAUUGAAAGCAAAUACUAUAUGAUUCCAUGUGGUGUUUUUCAAAGGAUGUGUCCCCUUAGCAUCUGCGGUGAGCUUUUUUGGUAUCUGGAGGUGGUUCUCAUUCCUCUCUACUAAUAACUCCAUUAUUAAACCAAUUAAUAAUCA